GGAAUUAGAAAAUUAAGUGUACAAAUUAUUUGCACAAAAGUAUUGGUUAUUAGGUUUGUUGGUUGAUUAGGGCUCACUUUGGUUGAUGUUGAAUGAGUGUUUAACGAUUAGGAACUACCUUGUAGGUGUGCUGAUGGAAGUUUAUUGCAGUAAUGUAGUUAGGUUCUUAGGUUUGUUUUGGAAAUCUAGUUGUUGUGGAAAAUUUUGGGAACAGACGUGUAGAGAUGGGGUGAG
rnacentral:misc_RNA from 1 species